GAUGAACGCUAGCGGGAGGCUUAACACAUGCAAGUCGAGGGGCAGCAUAGGGUAGCAAUACUCUGAUGGCGACCGGCAAACGGGUGAGUAACGCGUAUGCAACCUACCCUGUACAGGGGGAUAACCCGGAGAAAUUCGGACUAAUAUCCCGUAAUAAUAUCCGGAGGCAUCUUUGGAUAUUUAAAGUUCCGACGGUACGGGAUGGGCAUGCGUAACAUUAACUGGUUGGUAAGGUAACGGCUUACCAAGGCUAUGAUGUUUAGGGGUCCUGAGAGGGUGGUCCCCCACACUGGUACUGAGACACGGACCAGACUCCUACGGGAGGCAGCAGUGAGGAAUAUUGGUCAAUGGGCGCAAGCCUGAACCAGCCAUCCCGCGUGCAGGAAGACGGCCCUAUGGGUUGUAAACUGCUUUUUCCAGGGAGAGAAACUUACGCACGUGUUGCGUGACUGACGGUACCCUGGGAAUAAGCAUCGGCUAACUCCGUGCCAGCAGUCCGCGGUAAACACGAGAGUA
rnacentral:rRNA from 1 species